rnacentral:lncRNA from 1 species
UGUUUUUACACGCAGGCAGGGUUUGUCGGAGGACUGCACCACUGUCCAUCCAUACAAAAUGCAAUAACUGUUUUGAAGGCAAGCCUCACGGUGCCAUGAAUCUAAAGCGAAAAAUGAGAAGCUCUAAGGAGAGAUGGUCUAAUGAAGACAUUUAGCACGAAGAAGAAGCAGGGAGGACUAAAAUUUAUCACCAAGAAAGUCUCGUCAUGCAGGUUUUCCGGCUCGAUUCUGAAAGUUCACUAAGUGGGGAAGGGCUUUAGAUAAGCUUUCGAGAUUCUGAACUUGAAGCUGGUAUGGUUUGCGGUUUCCCUGUCGCUAUGCAAAGCUCUUGCUGGCAACAGCCCAUUAUCAACAAUGCCCUCUUGGAAUUUCUUAUGUGUGGAGAGACAGGUUGACAACCCCGACUGGCUUUUCCAAAGAGAUAGUCUUGCGUUGUUAGGGAUGCCACGAAAGUUCUGAUUGAGUCUCGCAAGGCCCUGGGCCAAUGGGGAUGUCUCGUCUCAGGGGAGGAACUCUUUAUGCAGUCGCUCUGGGGAGGUGCCCACACACUUACCUUUCCUUGCAUUACACAACCGGAUAGCAUGCCAGCUCCAGGCUUGUGGCCGUUUCAUAACCAGCCCUUUCAUGUGUUAUGUGUGAAGUUUGAAAUAAAGCCGUCUUUGACCACCACGCUACAGAAACGAUGGCUUUGAUUCCAGGGUAAGGCAUGAACACGUUUUCCCAGAGAAACAUGCACUUAGACUUGGUGGUAAAGAGAUCACGGUCUCCCUGGCCAGUUACUGCGUUCUUGGGAAUUCUACUGAUUUGGCAAAACACGACUGAUGUUCAGAAAGCUGACGAGGCGAAAACAAGGCUUCCUUCCUACACUGGCAGUGGAGUGAGUUCCUUGGCCAGUCCACCUGUCAGCCUUCAAAUCUGCCCUCCGAGAAUAUUUCCCUGCCCAGUGUCCCAGGGACACUUUGGGAGUUCUCCACUUCUUCUUGGCAUGUGUCUCACAUCUUCAUAUCAGAAAUCCUUCUCCUUCUCCGUUCUGAAUUUACCGAGCCAGAGUCCAUGUAAGAACAAACUGCGGUCCCCUCGGUGA